GGUUAAACGCUUACACAAUACCAUCGUAGAAAUCAAUAAUCAUAAACUCAAGGCCCAACAAGACAAACUUGAUAAAAUAAAUAAGCAAUUAGAUGAAUGUGCUUCUGCUAUUACUAAAGCCCAAGUAGCAAUCAAGACUGCUGACAGAAACCUUCAAAAGGCACAAGACUCUGUCUUGCGUACAGAGAAAGAAAUAAAAGAUACUGAGAAAGAGGUGGAUGACCUAACAGCAGAGCUGAAAAGUCUUGAGGACAAAGCAGCAGAGGUCAUAAAGAAUACAAAUGCUGCAGAGGUAUGAGUUGCUUUGUAUUGAAGAGGAGAUGGGAUGAUACUGGAACCAAUUUAAAGAGCUGGAUAUAUGACAGUGCCUAGAAUGUAGUAAGCACUCAUAGACUUAAAGUUUUAUAACUAUCAAUUUUUAUUUGUACAAUAAGAAUACUAUAAUUUGUGAAUUUAAAUGCUUAAAUUAUUUUAAAAUGGAAGGGGCAUGGGGAGAGAUUGGUAAUUCCUUCAUCUUUGUAAUGUGAAAAUGAUGGCUCUAUUUGGAAAAUUCUAUCUAGCAGUUCUUUUCGGUGUUUAGGAAUCCUUACCA
rnacentral:sRNA from 1 species